rnacentral:rRNA from 1 species
AUUGAGCGCUGGCGGCAGGCUUAACACAUGCAAGUCGAGCGGGGUGAUGGUGCUUGCACUAUCACUUAGCGGCGGACGGGUGAGUAAUGCUUAGGAAUCUGCCUAUUAGUGGGGGACAACAUUCCGAAAGGAAUGCUAAUACCGCAUACGCCCUACGGGGGAAAGCAGGGGAUCUUCGGACCUUGCGCUAAUAGAUGAGCCUAAGUCGGAUUAGCUAGUUGGUGGGGUAAAGGCCUACCAAGGCGACGAUCUGUAGCGGGUCUGAGAGGAUGAUCCGCCACACUGGGACUGAGACACGGCCCAGACUCCUACGGGAGGCAGCAGUGGGGAAUAUUGGACAAUGGGCGGAAGCCUGAUCCAGCCAUGCCGCGUGUGUGAAGAAGGCCUUUUGGUUGUAAAGCACUUUAAGCGAGGAGGAGGCUCUUUUGGUUAAUACCCAAGAUGAGUGGACGUUACUCGCAGAAUAAGCACCGGCUAACUCUGUGCCAGCAGCCGCAGUAA